GGUUAAGCGACUAAGCGUACACGGUGGAUGCCCUGGCAGUCAGAGGCGAUGAAGGACGUGCUAAUCUGCGAUAAGCGUCGGUAAGGUGAUAUGAACCGUUAUAACCGGCGAUUUCCGAAUGGGGAAACCCAGUGUGUUUCGACACACUAUCAUUAACUGAAUCCAUAGGUUAAUGAGGCGAACCGGGGGAACUGAAACAUCUAAGUACCCCGAGGAAAAGAAAUCAACCGAGAUUCCCCCAGUAGCGGCGAGCGAACGGGGAGCAGCCCAGAGCCUGAAUCAGUGUGUGUGUUAGUGGAAGCGUCUGGAAAGGCGUGCGAUACAGGGUGACAGCCCCGUACACAAAAAUGCACAUGCUGUGAGCUCGAUGAGUAGGGCGGGACACGUGGUAUCCUGUCUGAAUAUGGGGGGACCAUCCUCCAAGGCUAAAUACUCCUGACUGACCGAUAGUGAACCAGUACCGUGAGGGAAAGGCGAAAAGAACCCCGGCGAGGGGAGUGAAAAAGAACCUGAAACCGUGUACGUACAAGCAGUGGGAGCACGCUUAGGCGUGUGACUGCGUACCUUUUGUAUAAUGGGUCAGCGACUUAUAUUCUGUAGCAAGGUUAACCGAAUAGGGGAGCCGAAGGGAAACCGAGUCUUAACUGGGCGUUAAGUUGCAGGGUAUAGACCCGAAACCCGGUGAUCUAGCCAUGGGCAGGUUGAAGGUUGGGUAACACUAACUGGAGGACCGAACCGACUAAUGUUGAAAAAUUAGCGGAUGACUUGUGGCUGGGGGUGAAAGGCCAAUCAAACCGGGAGAUAGCUGGUUCUCCCCGAAAGCUAUUUAGGUAGCGCCUCGUGAAUUCAUCUCCGGGGGUAGAGCACUGUUUCGGCAAGGGGGUCAUCCCGACUUACCAACCCGAUGCAAACUGCGAAUACCGGAGAAUGUUAUCACGGGAGACACACGGCGGGUGCUAACGUCCGUCGUGAAGAGGGAAACAACCCAGACCGCCAGCUAAGGUCCCAAAGUCAUGGUUAAGUGGGAAACGAUGUGGGAAGGCCCAGACAGCCAGGAUGUUGGCUUAGAAGCAGCCAUCAUUUAAAGAAAGCGUAAUAGCUCACUGGUCGAGUCGGCCUGCGCGGAAGAUGUAACGGGGCUAAACCAUGCACCGAAGCUGCGGCAGCGACGCUGAUGCGUUGUUGGGUAGGGGAGCGUUCUGUAAGCCUGCGAAGGUGUGCUGUGAGGCAUGCUGGAGGUAUCAGAAGUGCGAAUGCUGACAUAAGUAACGAUAAAGCGGGUGAAAAGCCCGCUCGCCGGAAGACCAAGGGUUCCUGUCCAACGUUAAUCGGGGCAGGGUGAGUCGACCCCUAAGGCGAGGCCGAAAGGCGUAGUCGAUGGGAAACAGGUUAAUAUUCCUGUACUUGGUGUUACUGCGAAGGGGGGACGGAGAAGGCUAUGUUGGCCGGGCGACGGUUGUCCCGGUUUAAGCGUGUAGGCUGGUUUUCUAGGCAAAUCCGGAAAAUCAAGGC
rnacentral:rRNA from 1 species